rnacentral:rRNA from 1 species
UACGUAGGGGGCAAGCGUUGUCCGGAUUUAUUGGGCGUAAAGAGCGUGUAGGCGGCCAGGUAGGUCUGCUGUGAAAACUCGAGGCUUAACCUCGAGAUGUCAGCGGAAACCAUCUGGCUAGAGUCCGGAAGAGGAGAAUGGAAUUCCCGGUGUAGCGGUGAAAUGCGCAGAUAUCGGGAAGAACACCCGUGGCGAAGGCGGUUCUCUGGGACGGUACUGACGCUGAGACGCGAAAGCGUGGGGAGCGAACAGG